rnacentral:rRNA from 1 species
UACGUAUGGUGCAAGCGUUAUCCGGAUUUACUGGGUGUAAAGGGAGCGCAGGCGGUGCGGCAAGUCUGAUGUGAAAGCCUGGGGCUCAACCCCGGUACUGCAUUGGAAACUGUCGUACUAGAGUGUCGGAGGGGUAAGCGGAAUUCCUAGUGUAGCGGUGAAAUGCGUAGAUAUUAGGAGGAACACCAGUGGCGAAGGCGGCUUACUGGACGAUAACUGACGCUGAGGCUCGAAAGCGUGGGGAGCAAACAGG